rnacentral:rRNA from 1 species
GACGAACGCUGGCGGCGUGCUUAACACAUGCAAGUCGAGCGAGGCCCCUCCUUCGGGAGGGUGUCCUAGCGGCGAACGGGUGAGUAACACGUUGGCAACCUGCCCUCAGCUCUGGGAUAACUCCGGGAAACCGGGGCUAAUACCGGAUACGACCUCCACGGGCAUCUGCGGAGGUGGAAAGUUUUUCGGCUGAGGAUGGGCCCGCGGCCUAUCAGCUAGUUGGUGGGGUAGUGGCCCACCAAGGCGACGACGGGUAGCCGGCCUGAGAGGGCGACCGGCCACACUGGGACUGAGACACGGCCCAGACUCCUACGGGAGGCAGCAGUGGGGAAUAUUGCGCAAUGGGCGAAAGCCUGACGCAGCGACGCCGCGUGAGGGACGAAGGCCUUCGGGUUGUAAACCUCUUUCAGCAGGGACGAAGCGAAAGUGACGGUACCUGCAGAAGAAGCACCGGCCAACUACGUG